GAUGAACGCUGGCGGCGUGCCUAAUACAUGCAAGUCGAGCGAACGGACGAGAAGCUUGCUUCUCUGAUGUUAGCGGCGGACGGGUGAGUAACACGUGGAUAACCUACCUAUAAGACUGGGAUAACUUCGGGAAACCGUAGCUAAUACCGGAUAAUAUUUUGAACCGCAUGGUUCAAAAGUGAAAGACGGUCUUGCUGUCACUUAUAGAUGGAUCCGCGCUGCAUUAUCUAGUUGGUAAGGUAACGGCUUACCAAGGCAACGAUGCAUAGCCGACCUGAGAGGGUGAUCGGCCACACUGGAACUGAGACACGGUCCAGACUCCUACGGGAGGCAGCAGUAGGGAAUCUGCCGCAAUGGGCGAAAGCCUGACGGAGCAACGCCGCGUGAGUGAUGAAGGUCUUCGGAUCGUAAAACUCUGUUAUUAGGGAAGAACAUAUGUGUAAGUAACUGUGCACAUCUUGACGGUACCUAAUCAGAAAGCCACGGCUAACUACGUG
rnacentral:rRNA from 1 species